GGUAGUCCAUUCAAAUUGGUUUCCAUCGAGGCUACAGAUGGAAAUGGAAUAUUAUUGAAAAUGGACUACUUAUUUGUUUCUUAAAUGGGGAUAGAUACCCUUCUGGGAAUAUGUGGUAAUUUUCUUGGGAUGAGUAAAGAUAGGGGAUAAAACUCAGCACAACUUUCUGGAAGAUUAACUUUUCUCCCUGGUUUGGGGAGAUGGAGAAGUUAAGACAUUAACUAAAGAGGUAAAAUUACCCAGAGUUUGUUGCUGGGUAAUCAGGGAUUAUAUUUACCAGCUUCUCUUGCAUUUAAUUGGGGCCAUGUGAUGACAUUUUGCUCAAGGGAUGUGGGGAGGAUGGCUGUUAAUUUUGGGCUGAAGCAAUUAAGCACUUCUCUCCCCAUCUCACAGUUGAAUGGAGAGGUUGCAGAAGCUCUGAAGGAGGGUAGAGUCACAAGGCCACAGGGCAGGUUGUCCACCUACCAGCCACACCCACACAGACUUUAGACCUCGAUCAUCUUGAAAUUCAUUCAGAUACCAUGGCCUGCCCAAGUGGAGAUAUUUGCCUUUGCAAUUAGAUGUGCCCAGGGAACUAUGUCUAAAUCAACAGGAGCAUGUGAAUGACAGUUCAAGUCAUGCGCGGUCUCCAUCACUUUACUGGCCAUCAGCCCUUUCUCAGGAAGCUUCUGGAGGAUAUGCUCCACCAAACUGAGGUUGUAAACCAAGAAAGAGGAAGACAUGGGAGACAGGAAACAGAAGACUCAGCAAAGGAGAGAGGAGGAGCCCUGUGACAACCGUGUACCCAGAACUGAGGUGCUGAGGGCAAUCUGGAACAGGUCAGAUGGACCCAACAGGGAUUUAUUCACUAAGAUGACAUUGAGAGUCUCUCUGUGCAUUCAUAAACAUGGAAAAGAGGAGAGUGUUGAGUUGAUUAGUGGUAACAAUGUUAAUCACAAGAAAGCAAAAUGUUAAUGUCAGACAAAAUGGAAAAAAAAAAUGUGUGCAGGCAAGAAAAAGUAAUCAUGGGCUAGCUCGUGGCUCAUCUGUAAAGAGAGUUUACUUAGUCAUAGAUAUAAACACAGCAUAUUAAUCGAUCUAAAAAUGUGAUGCAGUGUCUUGGAGAAUUGAGGGCAGGAGGAGUGCAUGUGUGUGGUAGGGAUGAAGGCAUCUGACAAAAAAAGAGCUAAAUCCUCAGCUCCCAUAGUGAGAAGUCUGUGCAUAAUGCCUAAAAAAGAACAAUCAGGACUUAGACAUACAAACAUGUUAUUUGCUGAUACGGACAUAAAUACCCAAAGAACUCAUGGAAAGAAUUGAAAUCAGUUGCCUCUGGGGAAAGGAUAAAGGGGGGCAGGGACUGAUAUUUGUGGCAACAAGUCCAAUUUUUUUACAGUUUAUUUAGAGAGGGAGAGAGAGAGAGCUGGGGAGGGGCAGAGAGAGAGGG